rnacentral:rRNA from 1 species
AGAAUCCGUCUCUGACAAGUACUCCUUGAAUUGAAGCCUCUUAGUAAAGGAAGGAAAAGAAACUAACAAGGAUAUCCGUAGUAGUGGCGAACGAACUGGAUAGAGUCUGCUAUGUAAUCCGCAAGGAGAUGUUAAGGCUGCAAGAGAAGUCAGUUGGAAUACUGCGAAAGAUAAGGUGAUAUCCCUUACAAGGCGUUAGAAAUAAGUAGCCAUACUUGGUAGUGGAUGGUGAAGGCGGUGGUUUUUUCCAUCGAAGACUAAAUACAGGAAGAGACCGAUAGCGAAUAAGUAGAGUGAUCGAAAGUGUGAAAUUGUAGACUUACCCAUUAUUAUGGGCCCGUCUUGAAACACGGACCAAGGAGUUUUUCUUUUCUGUGAUGGGAAGCUUUUAAGAAGACGACCAAUCGAAGGAGGAGAAUAGAAGGGAAAAGACCCGAUAGAUGUGUGAACUAUUUCUGGUUCCUAUGAAGGCUAGCGAAAGCUGGCUGGAGGUGGUAAGUCGUAUUGAGUUACAGUUCAUUGACGUAAACUGGAAAUAGGGGCGAAAGACCAAUCGAACCAUCUAGUGGCUGGUUCCCCCCAAAAUGUCUCUCAGGACAGCGUUCUCUAUAAAGAGUGGUUGUGUAUAGCAAUGUUUAAUGUAGACAAACUAUAAAGCAGCAUACUUGAGAGGGAGCAGUGGGCAUGUUUUGGUAAGCAGGACUUGCGAAAAGAAAUGAAUCUUUCAGUAGUUAAGGUGCCUAAACAGGACGAAAUCAAAGGAUUGGCACGAAUAGAGACGGCAGGGCAGUGGCCAUGAAAGUCGGCAUCUGCUAAGAAGUGUGUUAUGACAUACCUGCGGAAUUCGUGCUGACCGAAAAUUGAGGGCGGUUAGUCUUGUACCGAUACUAGAGUAGUAGGGGGGCGUUCCGAUUUCAGAGAAGCUUUUGGGUGACUGGGAGUGGAGAGAUCGGGAGAGCUGAUCUUGGUAAUAGUAGUUUAUUAUAUAAUAGUCGUAUAAAGAAGGGUUUCUUAUAAAAGAGUGAGUCGGUAUUAAUCCUAGCUGUAGAAGGCAUAGGAGAAAAAGAAUGAGUUUAAUAUUACUCGACUUUGUGUGCUAGUGGCAACAGUAGAUGGCUGCAGACGGUUUGCUGUAGACAGGAUAUGACCCUCGUUGUAUCUUAGCAUGUCGUUGGAGGAUCAUCCUGCGAAGACGAUAUGAUGUUGAAGGCAGAUCUGGUAAAAAUGCAGGCAUUGAGCAUGCAAAACCGUACCCAAACCGAGACAGGUCUUUGGGAAUAGUAUUCUGCGACUGAGUUGUAAUGCUCGUAAGGGAAUUCGGCAAAAUAGAUGCGUAACUUCGGAAGAAGUAUUGGUUCUAUGGAACUUAUUGUUGCAGGAGGAAUCUGACUGUUUAGUAAAAACAUAGCUUAUUGUUUACGAUAAGUGAAUUCUGCCCGGUGCUUGCUAAGUUAUUUCCGUAAUUGGAAUAAGCACAGGUAAACGGCGGGAGUAACUAUGACUCUCUUAAGGUAGCCAAAUGCCUAGUCGUUUAAAUGGCGACGUGCAUGAAUGGAGUGACGCGAUUCCUACUGUCCCUACGAGCGGACUAGCGAACUUAUUAUCAGGGGAACGGGCCUGAAUAAUCGGCGGGGAAAGAAGACCCUGUUGAGCUUUGCUCUAGUUUACCGCAGUAUUGUCAAAAGGUGAUGUAGAUAGGAGGUGGAAUGAAAAUCCUCUGCGCCUGGCGACUCUACUAAGUUGGGAAAUGGGGAGCUUGGCUGGGGCGGCACGGCUGCAGUAACAGAACGCAGCCGACCGAAGGUAUUCUUAAUGAGGGGAGAAAACUCAUGUUAAUUUCAAGGAAAUAAGAAUGCUUAAAUGACAGUGUCAUGAAGGGAAACCUGGGCCUAGCGAUCCCGUUAGAUCCAGAGAAAAGAUCAACGGGUGACGGAAAAGUUACCGCAGGGAUAACUGGCUUGUGGCCGUCGAGCGCUGAAAGCGACACGGCUUUUUGAUUCUUCGAUGUCGGCUCUUCCUAUCAUUGCUGUGCAUCAGCAGCAAAGUGUUGGAUUGUUCACCCACUAACAGGGAACGUGAGCUGGGUUUAGACCGUCGUGAGACAGGU